GUAAGGACCUGAGCAUUUUUCUCACAAGAUCACUGUUAGAAUAAUAUUUGCCAAGACUUUUUAAAUCAUUUAUGAUGUCAGUGAAAUAAGUGAAUAUUUGAAUUAUUGAUUCUUCAGGUUCUAUUUUAAAUAGUUCGUAGUUAUGCACAAACAUAUUGAUCUUAGAUUCUUUUACUUGAUUUGUGCCUUCGUGUGUGACUUCUAAUCUAUCCCAAAUUUUUUUAGCUAAAUUUCAUAUGAAAAUAUGAUUAAAUUCAUUAGCAUCCAAAGUAUAAUAUAAAAUAUUCAUGGCUUUAGCAUUGAGCUGAGCUAUUUUCUUAUCAAUUUCAUCCCAUUCACCUUCCGGCUUAGGGAGAGACACACCAUCAAUUAAUUUAGUGGAUGUGUGUGGUCUAUUUACUAUGACACUCUAUAUGUCAUAGUCAAGUGCUUGUAUGAAAAUUUUUAUCUGAGCUUUUUAAUAGGUGUAGUUUGAUCCAUUGAAAAGUGGAGGUCAAUUUGUGGAUUGCCC
rnacentral:lncRNA from 1 species